rnacentral:rRNA from 1 species
GAUCCUGGCUCAGGAUGAACGCUAGCUACAGGCUUAACACAUGCAAGUCGAGGGGCAGCGGGAUUGAAGCUUGCUUCAAUUGCCGGCGACCGGCGCACGGGUGAGUAACGCGUAUCCAACCUUCCGUACACUCAGGGAUAACCUUGCGAAAGUAAGACUAAUACCCAAUGAUAUCUCUAGAAGACAUCUGAAAGAGAUUAAAGAUUCAUCGGUGAUGGAUGGGGAUGCGU